UAAUAUUUUUUUAUUGAACAGGAAGAAUUGGAGGGUUUAAUAGAUAGAGAGAAUAGAGAAGAUGGAGAGGGAGAACUCAUUCCUCAACAAGUUAGUCAGGACCUUGCUUGUGCUUGUAUAAAUAGAUAGAUGGGGAGGGAGAACAUCAUUCCUCAACAAGUUAGCCUUUGCUGUUGCAGUUUCUAUGGCUUCCAACAACAACAGCAGCAGCAGCAGCAGCAGCAUCAUCGUCCAACAUUGCAACUACUCUUCAUAUGACGUGUUUGUGAGCUUCAGAGGUAAGGACACACGCAACAAUUUUACUGAUCAUCUUUUUGGUGCAUUCCAUAGGAAAAAAAUUCGUACAUUUAGGGAUGACACAAGGCUGAAGAAAGGGGAACGUAUACUAUCCAACCUCAUGCAAGCAAUUGAGGGGUCUCAGAUUUUUGUCAUUGUCUUCUCAAAGAACUAUGCUUUUUCAUCAUGGUGCUUGAAAGAACUUGCUAAGAUCCUUGAUUGUGUUAGAGUCUCCGGAAAACAUGUUCUGCCUAUUUUUUACGAUGUUGAUCCAUCUGAAGUGCGAAAUCAGACGGGGGAUUAUGAGAAAGCCUUCGCCAAACACGAAGAUAGAGAGAAGAUGGAGGAAGUGAAAAGAUGGAGAGAAGCUCUCACACAAGUAGCCAAUCUCGCUGGUUGGGAUAUGAGGAAUAAGUCACAAUAUGCUGAGAUUGAAAAAAUUGUUCAAGAGAUAAUAAGUAAAUUGGGUCACAAUUUUUCAAGUCUUCCAAAUGAUCUAGUUGGGAUGGAAUCUCCUGUUGAAGAAUUAGAAAAACUUUUACUUUUGGACCUAACUGAUGAUGUUCGCAUUGUAGGAAUUUGUGGGAUGGGUGGAAUAGGAAAGACAACUCUUGCUACUGUUUUAUAUGAUAGAAUCUCUCAUCAAUUUGAUGCUCACUGUUUCAUUGAUAAUGUAAGCAAAACUUAUAGACAUUGUGGCCAAAUUGGUGUUCUAAAGCAGCUGCUUCAUCAAACUCUAAAUGAAGACCUUCAGAUAUGCAAUCUUUACCACGCAGCUAAUUUGAUGCAAAGUAGGCUACGCUAUGUAAAGAGCAUUAUAGUUCUUGAUAAUGUUAAUGAAGUUGAACAACUAGAGAAAUUAGUUUUGAAUCGUGAAUGGUUAGGUGCAGGGAGUAGAAUCAUCAUAAUUUCUAGAGACAAGCAUGUCUUGAAAAAGUGUGGAGUGACUGUAGUCUACAAAGUUCAACUCUUGAAUGGUGCUAAUUCUCUUAAAUUGUUCUGUAAAAAAGCUUUCGAUUCUGUUGAUAUCACGGGAGAUUAUGAAGAGUUGAAAUAUGAAGUCUUAAAAUAUGCCAAUGACCUACCACUAGCAAUUAAAGUACUAGGUUCGGUUUUGUCUGGUCGAAGUGUCUCAUAUUGGAGAAGUUACUUGGAUAGACUUAAAGAGAAUCCUAACAAAGAUAUUCUGGAUGUGCUUCGAAUUAGUUAUGAUGAACUUCAGGAUUUGGAAAAGGAAAUAUUUUUAGAUAUUGCUUGUUUCUUCUGUGGAAACGAAGAAUUAUAUGUGAAGAAAGUUUUAGAUUGUUGUGGGUUUCAUUCUGAAAUUGGAAUAAGAGCCCUCGUUGAUAAAUCACUCAUAGAUAAUUCAAGUGGAUUCAUUGAAAUGCAUAAUUUGUUGAAAGUUUUAGGCAGAACAAUUGUUAAAGGCAAUGCACCCAAAGAGCCAGGAAAGUGGAGCAGGGUUUGGCUCCACGAAGAUUUCUACAAUAUGUCGAAGGCAACGGAAACAACAAACAAUGAAGCCAUUGUUUUAGACAGAGAGAUGGAAAUAUUGAUGGCUGGUGCUGAAGCAUUGUCCAAAAUGAGCAACCUUAGGUUGCUCAUAUUCCGUGAUGUGAAGUUUAUGGGAAUACUUAAUUCAGUUAAUUGUCUCUCCAAUAAACUACAAUUUCUUGAGUGGUAUAACUAUCCUUUCUCCUAUUUGCCAUCAAGUUUUCAGCCGAACCUGCUGGUUGAAUUGAUCUUGCAACAUAGCAACAUCAAACAAUUAUGGAAAGGCAUAAAGCAUCUGCCAAAUUUAAGAGCUUUGGAUCUCAGUUACUCCAAGAAUCUUAUUGAGGCUCCAGACUUUGGAGGGGUCCUUAAUCUUGAGUGGAUAAUUCUUGAAGGAUGCACAAAUCUUGCACGGAUCCAUCCAUCAGUUGGACUUCUAAGAAAACUUGCUUUCUUGAAUUUGAAAAACUGCAUUAGUCUAGUAAGUCUACCCAGCAACAUAUUGAGUCUAAGUUCUCUUGGAUAUCUAAAUAUCUCUGGCUGUCCAAAAGUAUUUAGUAAUCAGCUGUUAGAGAAACCAAUACAUGAGGAGCAUUCUAAGAUGCCUGAUAUCAGGCAAACUGCCAUGCAAUUUCAAUCAACAUCCUCCUCCAUCUUCAAGAGACUUAUUAAUUUAACUUUCCGUUCCUCCUACUAUUCUAGAGGGUAUAGAAAUUCAGCUGGUUGUUUGUUGCCUUCCUUGCCUACCUUCUUUUGUAUGCGUGACCUUGAUCUAAGUUUCUGCAAUCUAAGCCAAAUCCCUGAUGCUAUUGGAUCCAUGCAUUCUUUAGAAACCUUGAAUUUAGGGGGAAACAACUUUGUUAGCCUCCCUUAUAGCAUCAACCAGCUUUCAAAACUUGUACAUUUAAACUUGGAGCAUUGUAAGCAAUUGAGAUAUUUUCCUGAGAUGCCAUCACCUACUUCCUUGCCCGUAAUAAGAGAAACCUACAACUUUGCUCAUUACCCUAGGGGAUUAUUUAUUUUUAACUGUCCUAAAAUAGUUGACAUUGCACGUUGUUGGGGCAUGACUUUUGCAUGGAUGAUACAAAUUCUUCAGGUUAGCCAAGAAUCAGAUACCCGUAUUGGUUGGAUUGACAUUGUUGUUCCGGGAAAUCAAAUACCAAAAUGGUUCAACAAUCAAAGUGUUGGUACUUCAAUAAGCCUAGACCCAUCUCCCAUUAUGCAUGGCAAUCAUUGGAUUGGCAUUGCUUGCUGCGUGGUAUUUGUGGCAUUUGAUGAUGCAACUGAUUUGCAUCCGAAUUUGAGAUCCUCUAUAAGAAUUGGUUUUAAAACAGAGUCCUACUCUUCCUCUCUUGAUAUUCCUAUACUUAUUAAUAAGGAUCUAGUAACGGUCGGAUUGCAUCACUUGUGGCUACUCUAUUUGAGUAGGGAGGAGUUUUUUUUCCUAUUUUAAAAUAGAAAAAAUGCUUGAUCUUCACGGCAUCAAAAUGCAAUCCACCGUCUGGCACUCUCAAGGUUUAAAUUUGGAGGUGCACGGUUGCGGAUAUCAGUGGGUAUUUAAGGAGGAUUUGGACACCCUAAACCUAACAAUAAUGCGAAGAGGAUACAACGAAACUCACGUUGAUGAUGAUUUUGUGAAGGGCGUUUCAAUCCUUUCUUUGGAAGAUGGAAACUAGCCAGGAUGGCCUCCAUCUUGUUCUUAAGGUAGUCCUUAGCAUAUGCUCACUGUAUAUAUAUGAUUGCUGGAUCCACAAUUUGAUAAUAUUGAAAGCCCUAUUUGAUCCAUUGCUGCCUGUAUAUGGUAUCAACAACUUUUGCUUAACAACACCGUUCUAAAAUCAACCACCAUGACUUCCUCAUCCACUUCCCCUACCAACACCAUCCCAUUCAAUGACUCACAAUCUCUGGUUGUCCUCAACACUCAGUCUUCCAUCAAACUAAAAGGCACUAACUAGCUUGGAGAGUUAACUCAACGACUCUCCUCGUUGGGUAUGAUCUCGUCGGAUUCGUUGAAGGCACGACCACGUGCCACGCAUCCGAUCAUCAAGACUCAUUAUUGGACACGACAGGACCAACUCAUUCUGCAUGCCUCUAUGGAUUGUGAUAACCAUGCUUUUGGCAACGUCAAAACCACAAAACGAGCAUGGAACAUCCUCAAAAAUAUGUUUGCGAGCAAAACUAGAGUCUGCAUCAUGUAUCUCAAAGAGCAUCUGUCUUGCUACACAAAUAGGAUCAAGAUUGACUUACUAACACUUAAUUUCAGUAUUUUAUGGUUUUUUUUUUCAUUGAACAACUUUUUUAUUUUUUUUACAUAGUGUACAUAUGUAAUAACUGUUAUAUUUAUUAAUAAUAUUUUUUUAUAUAUAGUGCACUAUA